GACCUCAGAUCAGGCAGGACUACCCGCCGAACUUAAGCAUAUCAAUAA
rnacentral:rRNA from 1 species